UNCACGCCCUAAACGAUGUCGAUUAGCUGUUGGGGCACUUGAUGCCUUAGUAGCGUAGCUAACGCGUGAAAUCGACCGCCUGGGGAGUACGGUCGCAAGAUUAAAACUCAAAGGAAUUGACGNGGACCCGCACAAGCGGUGGAUGAUGUGGAUUAAUUCGAUGCAACGCGAAGAACCUUACCUGGUCUUGACAUGUACGGAACCUUCCAGAGACGGAAGGGUGCCUUCGGGAGCCGUAACACAGGUGCUGCAUGGCUGUCGUCAGCUCGUGUCGUGAGAUGUUGGGUCAAGUCNNGCAACGAGCGCAACCCUUGUCAUUAGUUGCCAUCAUUCAGUUGGGCACUCUAAUGAGACUGCCGGUGACAAACCGGAGGAAGGUGGGGACGACGUCAAGUCCUCAUGGCCCUUAUGACCAGGGCUUCACACGUCAUACAAUGGUCGGUACAGAGGGUAGCCAAGCCGCGAGGCGGAGCCAAUCCCAGAGAACCGAUCGUAGUCCGGAUUGCACUCUGCAACUCGAGUGCAUGAAGUCGGAAUCGCUAGUAAUCGCAGGUCAGCAUACUGCGGUGAAUACGUUCCCGGGUCUUGU
rnacentral:rRNA from 1 species